UCCGCCACGCCUCUUUACAAUGCGUACCAAGGCGGAA
rnacentral:sRNA from 1 species